rnacentral:rRNA from 1 species
AGCGUACACGGUGGAUGCCCUGGCAGUCAGAGGCGAUGAAGGACGUGCUAAUCUGCGAUAAGCGUCGGUGAGGUGAUAUGAACCGUUAUAACCGGCGAUUUCCGAAUGGGGAAACCCAGUGUGUUUCGACACACUAUCAUUAACUGAAUCCAUAGGUUAAUGAGGCGAACCGGGGGAACUGAAACAUCUAAGUACCCCGAGGAAAAGAAAUCAACCGAGAUUUCCCCAGUAGCGGCGAGCGAACGGGGAGGAGCCCAGAGCCUGAAUCAGUGUGUGUGUUAGUGGAAGCGUCUGGAAAGGCGUGCGAUACAGGGUGACAGCCCCGUACACAAAAAUGCACAUAUUGUGAGCUCGAUGAGUAGGGCGGGACACGUGGUAUCCUGUCUGAAUAUGGGGGGACCAUCCUCCAAGGCUAAAUACUCCUGACUGACCGAUAGUGAACCAGUACCGUGAGGGAAAGGCGAAAAGAACCCCGGCGAGGGGAGUGAAAAAGAACCUGAAACCGUGUACGUACAAGCAGUGGGAGCCUCUUAAUGGGGUGACUGCGUACCUUUUGUAUAAUGGGUCAGCGACUUAUAUUCUGUAGCAAGGUUAACCGAAUAGGGGAGCCGAAGGGAAACCGAGUCUUAACUGGGCGUUAAGUUGCAGGGUAUAGACCCGAAACCCGGUGAUCUAGCCAUGGGCAGGUUGAAGGUUGGGUAACACUAACUGGAGGACCGAACCGACUAAUGUUGAAAAAUUAGCGGAUGACUUGUGGCUGGGGGUGAAAGGCCAAUCAAACCGGGAGAUAGCUGGUUCUCCCCGAAAGCUAUUUAGGUAGCGCCUCGUGAAUUCAUCUCCGGGGGUAGAGCACUGUUUCGGCAAGGGGGUCAUCCCGACUUACCAACCCGAUGCAAACUGCGAAUACCGGAGAAUGUUAUCACGGGAGACACACGGCGGGUGCUAACGUCCGUCGUGAAGAGGGAAACAACCCAGACCGCCAGCUAAGGUCCCAAAGUCAUGGUUAAGUGGGAAACGAUGUGGGAAGGCCCAGACAGCCAGGAUGUUGGCUUAGAAGCAGCCAUCAUUUAAAGAAAGCGUAAUAGCUCACUGGUCGAGUCGGCCUGCGCGGAAGAUGUAACGGGGCUAAACCAUGCACCGAAGCUGCGGCAGCGACACUAUGUGUUGUUGGGUAGGGGAGCGUUCUGUAAGCCUGUGAAGGUGGCCUGUGAGGGUUGCUGGAGGUAUCAGAAGUGCGAAUGCUGACAUAAGUAACGAUAAAGCGGGUGAAAAGCCCGCUCGCCGGAAGACCAAGGGUUCCUGUCCAACGUUAAUCGGGGCAGGGUGAGUCGACCCCUAAGGCGAGGCCGAAAGGCGUAGUCGAUGGGAAACAGGUUAAUAUUCCUGUACUUGGUGUUACUGCGAAGGGGGGACGGAGAAGGCUAUGUUGGCCGGGCGACGGUUGUCCCGGUUUAAGCGUGUAGGCUGGUUUUCCAGGCAAAUCCGGAGAAUCAAGGCUGAGGCGUGAUGACGAGGCACUACGGUGCUGAAGCAACAAAUGCCCUGCUUCCAGGAAAAGCCUCUAAGCAUCAGGUAACAUCAAAUCGUACCCCAAACCGACACAGGUGGUCAGGUAGAGAAUACCAAGGCGCUUGAGAGAACUCGGGUGAAGGAACUAGGCAAAAUGGUGCCGUAACUUCGGGAGAAGGCACGCUGAUAUGUAGGUGAAGCGACUUGCUCGUGGAGCUGAAAUCAGUCGAAGAUACCAGCUGGCUGCAACUGUUUAUUAAAAACACAGCACUGUGCAAACACGAAAGUGGACGUAUACGGUGUGACGCCUGCCCGGUGCCGGAAGGUUAAUUGAUGGGGUUAGCGGCAACGCGAAGCUCUUGAUCGAAGCCCCGGUAAACGGCGGCCGUAACUAUAACGGUCCUAAGGUAGCGAAAUUCCUUGUCGGGUAAGUUCCGACCUGCACGAAUGGCGUAAUGAUGGCCAGGCUGUCUCCACCCGAGACUCAGUGAAAUUGAACUCGCUGUGAAGAUGCAGUGUACCCGCGGCAAGACGGAAAGACCCCGUGAACCUUUACUAUAGCUUGACACUGAACAUUGAGCCUUGAUGUGUAGGAUAGGUGGGAGGCUUUGAAGUGUGGACGCCAGUCUGCAUGGAGCCGGCCUUGAAAUACCACCCUUUAAUGUUUGAUGUUCUAACGUGGGCCCCUAAUCGGGGUUGCGGACAGUGUCUGGUGGGUAGUUUGACUGGGGCGGUCUCCUCCUAAAGAGUAACGGAGGAGCACGAAGGUUGGCUAAUCCUGGUCGGACAUCAGGAGGUUAGUGCAAUGGCAUAAGCCAGCUUGACUGCGAGCGUGACGGCGCGAGCAGGUGCGAAAGCAGGUCAUAGUGAUCCGGUGGUUCUGAAUGGAAGGGCCAUCGCUCAACGGAUAAAAGGUACUCCGGGGAUAACAGGCUGAUACCGCCCAAGAGUUCAUAUCGACGGCGGUGUUUGGCACCUCGAUGUCGGCUCAUCACAUCCUGGGGCUGAAGUAGGUCCCAAGGGUAUGGCUGUUCGCCAUUUAAAGUGGUACGCGAGCUGGGUUUAGAACGUCGUGAGACAGUUCGGUCCCUAUCUGCCGUGGGCGCUGGAGAACUGAGGGGGGCUGCUCCUAGUACGAGAGGACCGGAGUGGACGCAUCACUGGUGUUCGGGUUGUCAUGCCAAUGGCACUGCCCGGUAGCUAAAUGCGGAAGAGAUAAGUGCUGAAAGCAUCUAAGCACGAAACUUGCCCCGAGAUGAGUUCU